rnacentral:rRNA from 1 species
GACGUAGGGCGCGAGCGUUGUCCGGAUUUAUUGGGCGUAAAGAGCUCGUAGGCGGCUUGUUGCGUCGACUGUGAAAACCUGCGGCUCAACCGUGUGGUCUGCAGUCGAUACGGGCAGGCUGGAGUUCGGUAGGGAGACUGGAAUUCCUGGUGUAGCGGUGAAAUGACGCAGAUAUCAGGAAGAACACCCGUGGCGAAAGCGGCUCUCUGGAACGGUACUGACGCUGAGACGCGAAAGCGUGGGGAGCGAACAGG